rnacentral:rRNA from 1 species
UAGGGAAUCUUCCACAAUGGACGCAAGUCUGAUGGAGCAACGCCGCGUGAGUGAAGAAGGUCUUCGGAUCGAAAACUCUGUUGUUAGAGAAGAACACGAGUGAGAGUAACUGUUCAUUCGAUGACGGUAUCUAACCAGCAAGUCACGGCUAACUACGUGCCCG